GCCGACACCAUAACCACUGUAGACUCCUCCAGAGAGCAAGACAGGAACAAGCUCUUACAAGAGCUUAGUAGUGAUAUAGCAAGGGAGUAUGACUAGCAUAGCAAUCCCUUGUAGCAGAUUCCCCCAGUAACGAGACAACACUUCGUUUUGAGGGUCAAGCAGAACUGACUGUACUGGCACAUACAGCCUCUUUUAUUCCCAAUCAACAAACUUAGUACUGCCCACAGGGUUUUACAGAACAACCAAAACACACGUACAUUACAGAAAACACUCCCAGCAAUUAUACACAAAAUCCUCCCCUCUGCCUGUGAUAUAAUUAUGUUACACAAUGGGUUAACAUAAUUAUCACAAGCAGGAAAAAUACAGUUUUUAUACAUGUGCUAUAACUUUAAAAAUAUACGUCCAAUCUUCAUAAAAAUUACAUAUUCAGAAUCCGCAUGCUUGAAAUAUACACAUAUUCAAAAAUCAGGGCAAUCGGUUCAGGGGUUAAAAAGUUAAGGGAAAGUCCUAUUUGACCAAAUGAAGCAUGGUUUUUCUGACAAAAACCAGUUCCACUGAGUCUUCUAUCCUGGAGAUAAUUGGGAAGUAAUCCAAUUAUCUCCAAGGACAGAGGCAAAACUCCAUUAACCACAUGGCAGUACAAUACAGUAAAAUACAAUAAAAUACACAAGGUUACAUUUAUUACAUAAAAUACAGACAUGCAACAUAUCCCCAGAUAGCUUAGAUCUGAGCACAAAUUAUUACUGAAUGGAGCUCAGAUCACAUACAUACAGUUCAAUUGCCAUGGAGCCAAAGUCUUUCACAUAGUCUUUCGUUAUACGAAUGGGCUCCAUGGCAUACCUAUCUGGGGUAACACUGCUCACACAGGGAAAGUACCGAAUGACCCGGUUUUCGGGUCUUUGCAGGGUAAAAUCCAGCAUUUCAACAUGGGGUCAUAGUCACAGGGCAGGAGGCUGGCAAUCAGUCUUCUCCAAUGCCCAGUGGCGUGGUCAGUUUCGCCACACUAGUUGAGACUGAGGUGUGGCUGGAUGAUUCCUACCAGGCCCUGCGGUGGCAUGCUUACCACCUCUACCCGUGGCUGAUCAAGUACAAGUGUAUUGAGGGGGGAGACUACGAUGGCCCUGGUUUGUUGUGGGAUACUAUUGAAACUAGUCCCUGGUUCGGAGAAACCGACGUUGUUCGCUUCUGGUCCAUUCGAGCUGAGUGGGCAGACAACUGGGACCUUACUGAGAUCACUGCCAUUCAGCCAGACCUAUCUUUUCUUGCCAACCGGGAGUGGGAACUAGAACAGGAUUAUGUUUGCCUAUUCCAACGGGUAACGCUGCCGGUCUCUGACAUGAUGGGGCUUAUGGACUGUGUACCACCGGGAGCGUUGAGUUUUGUCCCUCCUCCCCAGCAACUAAGCCUGUCAGGAGACCCGGGCACUAUACCACCUACUUCCCAACCAACCCCGGAGAUAGAAGACUAUAUCGACAGGUCCUGGGAAGACCCCCAGUUGGCAGGUGGAGAUGGGUUCGAGGUCUCUCCACUGGCCCUACAGGGAUGCUGGGCAGCUGGCCCAGAUCUUCAACCCCAGGUGGAGAUGUUAGGAGUGGGGACAGUCGGUCUCUCUCCCCAGUGGCAGACACAGUUAUUGGGAGUGAAGAUGGUCGGUCUCACUCCCCAGCGGCAGUGUGAGGUCCAGGCAGAGAAGUGUUCCGUCCUUCCUCCCCAGCGGCAGUGUAUCCCAGUGUUUCCCAACGCAGUCCUCAAGGCACACCUACCAGUCCAGGAU